CCGGGGCGACAGCAAUAUGAAGGUCAGGCUGAAGACCUUACCCGAUUAGCUGAGAGGUGGUGCAUGGCCGUCGUCAGUUCGUACUGUGAAGCAUCCUGUUAAGUCAGGCAACGAGCGAGACCCACGUCCACAGUUGCCAGCAUACCCUCCGGGGUGAUGGGUACACUGUGGAGACCGCCGCUGCUAAAGCGGAGGAAGGAGUGGGCAACGGUAGGUCAGUAUGCCCCGAAUCUCCCGGGCUACACGCGGGCUACAAUGGUUGGUACAAUGGGCAUCUACCCCGAAAGGGGAAGGAAAUCUCUUAAAGCCAAUCGUAGUUCGGAUUGGGGGCUGCAACUCGCCCUCAUGAAGCUGGAAUCCGUAGUAAUCGCGUUUCAACAGAACGCGGUGAAUACGUCCCUGCUCCUU
rnacentral:rRNA from 1 species